CAGAAAGAAAAAUCUGCUAUUUUCACAAGAGUAUCAGCCUCACUGACUUUACCAUUUCAGAAGCCGAAGUAAAUAGUUAAUUGAUUAAUCGGAGUGAAACUGAAUGCAAUAAAAAAUUGUAUUAGGUAAUGCCUGCCGAACAGCUGCUCCAUCCUGGCAAUAGCGGGAGCUAUUCUGUUUUUAUCGCAGGAUGCUACAGGUCGGACGUAUGGCGCAUGCAAUCGUACAUUCUACGAGAACUAAUUUUAAACAGCAUGCGGCUCUUCUCCACCAGCGGAAGGGUCCCAUUUUUUCGAGGCAAUCAAAUAUUUCGACGAAAAAGGAAUUCAAAGACGUAGGUGUGCACCGGAGAAAAGCUGCUUUAUCGUCGUCGGGCCGAUGCAAUCCUGCGCUAUGUUAACGCAGCGUUCACGUGGCGUUGAAUAGACGCUAUACGUGAGCAACGGAUCUCAAUAUAAGAAAUAAAUUACUUAUUGCUUAAAUAAUGUCGGUCUGAGU